GACGAACGCUGGCGGCGUGCCUAAUACAUGCAAGUCGAGCGAACGGACGCGACUCUUGCUGCUCUCAUGUUAGGGGCGCACGUGUGAGAAACACGUGGAUCCCGUCCCUAUAAGAGUGGGAUCACUUCGGGAAACCGGCGCUAAUCCCGGAUAAUCUUUUGAACCACGUGGUUCAAAAGUGAAAGACGGUCUUGCUGUAACUUCUAGAUGCAUCCGCGCUGCAUUAGCUAGUUGGUAAGGUAACGGCUUACCAAGGCAACGAUGCAUAGCCGACCUGAGAGGGUGAUCGGCCACACUGGAACUGAGACACGGUCCAGACUCCUACGGGAGGCAGCAGUAGGGAAUCUUCCGCAAUGGGCGAAAGCCUGACGGAGCAACGCCGCGUGAGUGAUGAAGGUCUUCGGAUCGUAAAACUCUGUUAUUAGGGAAGAACAUAUGUGUAAGUAACUGUGCACAUCUUGACGGUACCUAAUCAGAAAGCCACGGCUAACUACGUG
rnacentral:rRNA from 1 species